CCUACGGGGUGCUGCAGUCGAGAAUCAUUCACAAUGGGGGAAACCCUGAUGGUGCGACGCCGCGUGGGGGAAUGAAGGUCUUCGGAUUGUAAACCCCUGUCAUGUGGGAGCAAAUUAAAAAGAUAGUACCACAAGAGGAAGAGACGGCUAACUCUGUGCCAGCAGCCGCGGUAAUACAGAGGUCUCAAGCGUUGUUCGGAAUCACUGGGCGUAAGGCGUGCGUAGGCUGUUUCGUAAGUCGUGUGUGAAAGGCGCGGGCUCAACCCGCGGACGGAACAUGAUACUGCGAGACUAGAGUAAUGGAGGGGGAACCGGAAUUCUCGGUGUAGCAGUGAAAUGCGUAGAUAUCGAGAGGAACACUCGUGGCGAAGGCGGGUUCCUGGACAUUAACUGACGCUGAGGCACGAAGGCCAGGGGAGCGAAAGGGAUUAGAUACCCGUGUAGUC
rnacentral:rRNA from 1 species